rnacentral:rRNA from 1 species
ACACAUGCAAGUCGAGGGGCAGCAUGGUCUUAGCUUGCUAAGGCCGAUGGCGACCGGCGCACGGGUGAGUAACGCGUAUCCAACCUGCCUUACACUCUUGGACAGCCUUCUGAAAGGGAGAUUAAUACAAGAUGUUAUCAUGAGUAAGCAUUUUCGCAUGAUUAAAGGUUUACCGGUGUAAGAUGGGGAUGCGUUCCAUUAGAUAGUAGGCGGGGUAACGGCCCACCUAGUCUUCGAUGGAUAGGGGUUCUGAGAGGAAGGUCCCCCACAUUGGAACUGAGACACGGUCCAAACUCCUACGGGAGGCAGCAGUGAGGAAUAUUGGUCAAUGGACGAGAGUCUGAACCAGCCAAGUAGCGUGAAGGAUGAAGGUUCUAUGGAUUGUAAACUUCUUUUAUACGGGAAUAAACGAAUCCACGCGUGGAUUUUUGCAUGUACCGUAUGAAUAAGGAUCGGCUAACUCCGUGCCAGCAGCCGCGGUAAUACGGAGGAUCCGAGCGUUAUCCGGAUUUAUUGGGUUUAAAGGGAGCGUAGAUGGGUUGUUAAGUCAGUUGUGAAAGUUUGCGGCUCAACCGUAAAAUUGCAAUUGAUACUGGCAGUCUUGAGUACAGUUGAGGUAGGCGGAAUUCGUGGUGUAGCGGUGAAAUGCUUAGAUAUCACGAAGAACUCCGAUUGCGAAGGCAGCUUACUAACCUGUAACUGACAUUGAUGCUCGAAAGUGUGGGUAUCAAACAGGAUUAGAUACCCUGGUAGUCCACACGGUAAACGAUGAAUACUCGCUGUAGGCGAUAUACAGUCUGCGGCCAAGCGAAAGCAUUAAGUAUUCCACCUGGGGAGUACGCCGGCAACGGUGAAACUCAAAGGAAUUGACGGGGGCCCGCACAAGCGGAGGAACAUGUGGUUUAAUUCGAUGAUACGCGAGGAACCUUACCCGGGCUUAAAUUGCAACCGAAUAUGGCGGAAACGCUAUAGCUAGCAAUAGCGGUUGUGAAGGUGCUGCAUGGUUGUCGUCAGCUCGUGCCGUGAGGUGUCGGCUUAAGUGCCAUAACGAGCGCAACCCUUGCCGAUAGUUACUAACAGGUCAUGCUGAGGACUCUGUCGGGACUGCCAUCGUAAGAUGUGAGGAAGGUGGGGAUGACGUCAAAUCAGCACGGCCCUUACGUCCGGGGCUACACACGUGUUACAAUGGGGGGUACAGAGGGCUGCUACCACGCAAGUGGAUGCCAAUCCCAAAAACCUCUCUCAGUUCGGAUUGAAGUCUGCAACCCGACUUCAUGAAGCUGGAUUCGCUAGUAAUCGCGCAUCAGCCACGGCGCGGUGAAUACGUUCCCGGGCCUUGUACACACCGCCCGUCAAGCCAUGGGAGCCGGGGGUACCUGAAGUGCGUAACCGCAAGGAGCGCCCUAGGGUAAAACUGGUGACUGGGGC